AACGAACGCUGGCGGCAGGCCUAACACAUGCAAGUCGAACGAAGUCUUCGGACUUAGUGGCGGACGGGUGAGUAACACGUGGGAACAUGCCCUUGGGUACGGAACAACAGUUGGAAACGACUGCUAAUACCGUAUGAUGUCUUCGGACCAAAGAUUUAUCGCCCAAGGAUUGGCCCGCGUAAGAUUAGAUAGUUGGUGGGGUAACGGCCUACCAAGUCUACGAUCUUUAGCUGGUCUUAGAGGAUGAUCAGCCACACUGGGACUGAGACACGGCCCAGACUCCUACGGGAGGCAGCAGUGGGGAAUCUUAGACAAUGGGGGCAACCCUGAUCUAGCCAUGCCGCGUGAUCGAUGACGGCCCUAGGGUUGUAAAGAUCUUUCGACGGGGACGAUAAUGACGGUACCCGUAGAAGAAGCUCCGGCUAACUUCG
rnacentral:rRNA from 1 species